rnacentral:rRNA from 1 species
GCUUACGCCCAUACCAGCCUGGGUACGCCCGAUCUCGUCUGAUCUCGGAAGCUAAGCAGUGUCGGGCCUGGUUAGUACUUGGAUGGGAGACCGCCUGGGAAUACCAGUUGCUGUAAGAA